rnacentral:lncRNA from 13 species
UCUGGUCCUAUCAGAACGCUUCGGAGGCGCUGCUGUACAGACAUUAACAAUUCUCACACUGCCUAAUAGAAAAGAUAAGACAUAUAGAUCAGAACUAGCGUCAGUGACACCCCAGGUAGAGUGCAGCUGCAGCUCUGCCACACCUUGGAUGGGGAUACAGAGGUGUGUAUCACUGGUAGGAUUGCAAUUCUACCAGUAAUUUUGGUAAUUAACAGAAAACAGAAAACAUAUGGCAAUCUAGUUUAACUUUGGCAAUUUUGAACUUAAAGAACGAUUACAUUUUUUUUUUAAUAUAGUAUUAAUUUAUUAUAUCUGUGUCCAUACUGUCCAUGAGUUUCUAGUCGAUAGACCAUACGGUUCAAGAGAAAAUAGUUUAAUUAAUGAAAAAAAAACAAUAGCAUUAUUUUCAAUUAACUCGAACUCUUCCAACUAUUGACUUUUUUUACAACUGCCACAAGUUUGACGCCAAAACAUUGACUAACAAAUACUCAAUGACAUAGUAAAAUAAAUAACUUUGUAAUAAAAUUAUUUAUAUAUAUAUAAGAAUAGUUCAUGCUGAAACCCUCAUAUAUAACACCAAUGGUAUUCACUAAGUUGAUAUUUAGGAUCAUGUUUUACAGCUUUGUCAUUACAUUUUUUACAUUUGAAAAUCAUCUUAUUAAAUGACUUCAUAUAUUUGACAUGUGAUACGGCCACACAGAGGGCCCGAGAUCAUUACAGACACCUGUAAUCAUCUGAAGUACCCAAAAGGGCCACAUUGUGAUAGAUUCAAUCAAAUCCUUUAAAGAUUCGGGUAGUUCACUGGUAAACUUAGAAAGUUUCCAGUAAUAUACCCUCCCUUUCCAACCCUAAUCACUGGUUAUUGUAUCUCUGCUCUGGUCUGUAGCAAUACUGCUGCAUCUCCUCUCCUGCUCCAGCAGAUGUGGAUCCCCAUGGUGACAGGAGAAGAACACCAGAGACACUGCAGAUGGAUGAGUUACACAUCACAAAGAGGAGGAGACAGAAUGACAGACUGCAGGCGCCAUCUGGGAGCGAGACGUGCAUUACAGGAGCUAUCCAUAUGGUCGGGGCAUCAUGACUUUGCUCAUCUCAUCUCCCGUCAACAUCUCUUCUGCUCAAGUCCUCUCUCAAAUGAUCCACAUACACGUUACUAACAGAAAGACAAAAACAUGCUUGUGUUUAUGUAUUUUUGCAGAGAUUAUACAAAUGUACACGUAACAGUCGGUAUUAGAUUAACAUUUUAAACUCAUGUCUUCAAUACUCUUCAAAUGUACAUUUCCUCAUGAAUCGGGUGCUAUAGAUUGUAUGAAGAGUCUUAAUCUGAUUAUAGUACAUUUAUUAUAAUACAGAAAAUGAUUUGCCACCUCCAUAUCAUCCCCACCCCCAGUCGUUGUUCAGUGUCGGGAGCUGGGGGCUUUUUUAAACCCAUCUGCUGUCUCGCACCUUCUAAUCUGCCCCCCGGAACCCAAUGGCAUCGUACUCCUCAUCCUGUCCCCAUCCUACCCACCCAUCACCCAGUGCAUAAUAUAUUCCCCCUGUAACCAAAUACUACAGCUCACAUUGUAUUAAGCCACAUUGCAUAUGCUUAUAACACACACAGUGAUGUUUACAGACCUGUCAUCUGGAAUGUACUGUAGGCUAGAUGUAAGAUAAGUGUAUCUAUGUAUAUUUAGAAAUAAACAGUGUCAAUAUUAAAUCUCUGUGUGUUUACUAAUUAUGACAAAUUCUUAUUCUACUCAAAAUCAACACUUAUUCGUCGCAAUUACUUUUUUUAUUGUCGUCUGUUUUGUUGAUCAGCUUUCUUUAUGUUUACAAAUGGAAAACAUUCUCUGUCCAGUGAUACUUUUCAAUGUGUAGCUUUGAGAGAGAGAGAGAGCGAGAGAGAGAGGAUGUCCUAUGUUGAAACUCAACCUUGACUGUGUACAUCAGACCUCCAAACAACUGAUGCCCUCUUCCUAUCGUGUGUGUGUGUGUCCACGGACCAGCCGGGAGAGGGUCCUAAUCCCUGUGAUUCCACAGAGUGAGAGGCAGAGGGUAUGAGCUGUUGAACAAGAUAAAGAGGAGAGGGGGGAUGGAGGAGAAGAGAGGAGAAGAUGAGAGAAGGAGAGCAAAGAUUAGGGGAGGAAGGUGUGAUAAGGAGAUUCCGAGUAGAUGCAGAAGCAUGGCGAAAUAAGAAAGUAGAAAGGGGACACAAGGACAGCAAGUGAAUAAGAAAAUCAGAUUGCUUGUGGGAGAUAGAGAGAGGGGAAGAGGACAAAGCUGAAGGCUGUGUGAGAUAGGCUGGCUAUCCCCCCCAUCUCCAUCUCUCCUAAUCUCACUCUGCCUCCUCCAUAUCUCUCUCCAUCUCUCCAUCUUGCCAAAUAGUCAGAAAAUUCACCGCCAGUGUGGUUGUGGUUUAAUUGGCUUUCAGUAUUCAUAAUUAAAACAAUGCCUUGACGUGCAGCUCCUACAUUGUCUUCCAUUAAUUUCAGAUUGCUCUUGUCAUUUGCACAUUACCCCAUGCAAAAGCAAAUUAAAGUGUUUCGUUUUCUCCCUUCACAUUCAGCGUCAUCUUCCCCA